AAGCAGAUGCGCUCUUGACAUUAACCAAAAAGUUUCAGCUGGACGUUGAUGAUAUUGAAAAUAUACUAAACAGUUUGGUUCAACUAGAUGUGAUUAAUGCCUGUGCUACUUUUGGUAUUUC